UACGUAGGGUGCAAGCGUUGUCCGGAAUUAUUGGGCGUAAAGAGCUCGUAGGCGGCUUGUCGCGUCUGCUGUGAAAUCCCGGGGCUCAACCCCGGGCCUGCAGUGGGUACGGGCAGGCUAGAGUGCGGUAGGGGAGAUUGGAAUUCCUGGUGUAGCGGUGGAAUGCGCAGAUAUCAGGAGGAACACCGAUGGCGAAGGCAGAUCUCUGGGCCGCUACUGACGCUGAGGAGCGAAAGCAUGGGGAGCGAACAGG
rnacentral:rRNA from 1 species